rnacentral:rRNA from 1 species
CACGUAGGGGCCAAGCGUUGUCCGGAUUCAUUGGGCGUAAAGAGCUCGUAGGCGGUUCAGUUAGUCGGGUGUGAAAUCUCCGGGCUCAACCCGGAGGGGCCACCCGAUACUGCUGUGACUCGAGUCCGGUAGGGGAGUGGGGAAUUCCUGGUGUAGCGGUGAAAUGCGCAGAUAUCAGGAGGAACACCGGUGGCGAAGGCGCCACUCUGGGCCGGUACUGACGCUGAGGAGCGAAAGCGUGGGUAGCAAA